rnacentral:rRNA from 1 species
AACGAACGCUGGCGGCAGGCUUAACACAUGCAAGUCGAACGCCCCGCAAGGGGAGUGGCAGACGGGUGAGUAACGCGUGGGAAUCUACCGUACCCUACGGAACAACAGUUGGAAACGACUGCUAAUACCGUAUACGCCCUUAGGGGGAAAGAUUUAUCGGGGUAUGAUGAGCCCGCGUUGGAUUAGCUAGUUGGUGGGGGAAAGGCCUACCAAGGCGACGAUCCAUAGCUGGUCUGAGAGGAUGAUCAGCCACAUUGGGACUGAGACACGGCCCAAACUCCUACGGGAGGCAGCAGUGGGGAAUAUCGGACAAUGGGCGCAAGCCUGAUCCAGCCAUGCCGCGUGAGUGAUAAAGGUCUUAGGAUUGUAAAGCUCUUUCACCGAUGAAGAUAAUGACGGUAGUCGGAGAAGAAGCCCCGGCUAACUUCGUGCCAGCCGCCGCCGUAA